UACAGAGGUCCCAAGCGUUGUUCGGAUUCACUGGGCGUAAAGGGUGCGUAGGCGGUCGGGUAAGUCUGACGUGAAAUCUUCAAGCUCAACUUGGAAACUGCGUCCGAUACUAUUCGGCUAGAGGAAUGGAGGGGAGACUGGAAUACUUGGUGUAGCAGUGAAAUGCGUAGAUAUCAAGUGGAACACCAGUGGCGAAGGCGAGUCCCUGGACGACUCCUGACACUGAGGCACGAAAGCUAGGGGAGCAAACAGG
rnacentral:rRNA from 1 species